AACUUAAACUCAUGAACUGUGAGAUCAUGACCUGAGCCACCCAGGUGCCCCAGGGGUCAUUUCUGUGUUACUAGAGAAGUUUCUCCGAAUGUGUAGGGUCCCUACAACCACAAGGAGGAAAUGCAGUAUCCUUUCCUGAAUAUGAAGCAGGCUUUGGUGUUGCUUUUGCAGCUGCUCUUUGCCCUUGAAGAUGGUUCUUUUCAUCCUUUGGGGGAUUAAGAAGGAAGGGACAUAGUCUGAGUGGUUUCUUGAAAAAGAAAAGAAGAAGAAAAGAGAAACAUGUUAGGGAUACACUUUCUCUAGUGUAAAAAAGUAUUUGCCUAGAAUUAGAAUAUGUUUUCCAGACAAAUCAUCUUUUGCUUUAGGAAUGGUAGAUUGAAUCAAAUAAUUUUCUCCUCUCAAAGUACUUAAUCCUGUGAAUGGCGGGACAAAUGGUGACAAAACUUUAUCCUAUUUCAAGGAUUCCACAAAAGACCCCAAAUUUGCUGGAAGGUUUACUUUCAGUGGAAUAACUUUCUUCAGAGUUCUUAGGUUAAGUAGUGCUUGAUGAAAAUCACUUUGUCCUUUCACUUCAUUAAUUAGGGAAAUAGCCUCGGGCUAACUUACUGCAGCACUUUGGAAGGACUUUUCCCUUCCUUGGAGCUCUGUGAUGCGGUCACCUAGAAACGGUUUCUUUGAUGUGCAAACGUUCUACUGGCAAAUAGUGCCAGGCAGCCACUCACAUUGGACAAUUCAGUUUUCUUCUGGGAACUGAACUUCAAUUUGGACUUUUCUCUUGUGUUUGAUAAGCAGGGUGUUACCACCAGUUACAAUUUAAACAGCAGUUUGAUCUUUAGAAGUAGAUCUGCAUUAUCGCCAAGCAACAGAUUCAGCGGGCAGCUUCUUCUGAAGUCUGGCUAAGAUGUGAGGAUCUGAAGUGGAACCAUCCAGAAGACAUUGCUAUUGAUGCUUUGCAUUCCUCAGCAUCAAUUCCCAACUGCUCUAUACAAACUCUCCUUGGAUCACCAUUACUAGGUCUGUUUC
rnacentral:lncRNA from 1 species